GAAAAGGCUAAAAAUGAAACAAGCCUUCGGAAAGGAAAUGGGUUAUUGAGAGAGUAUCUGGCUUCUCUCUAGAAACAUCCUAUUUCUAGGGUUUCAAGAUUUCAAUUUUCUUGUUGAAAUGGCGGGAGUAAAUGUGGAUUUGUCUUCAUUAAAUAUGCGAGCUUUGGGAUCUGAAGUUGCCUCAUCUGAGGGUAACGUAGUAGGAAAUCUUAACCAUCGUGUUAAUUGUUCUUUGGUUUCUAAGUUGUCAAACCCCAAAAUUAGGCUUCGAUGGUAAAUUAGGGUAGAACCAAAUUUCUGAGGAAGAUCUUGCUAAUAUUGUCGAUAUUGUGAGACGCGGUGGUGGUAUGGAGAAAGUAAUGCAGACAUCCUUGUCUGAGUUAGCAGAUCGACUCUAAAGGUUGAGGGAACAGAUCCAUUCUGACGUUCCUGGUACACGUAAAAGAGAUCAAUCUCGAUCUGAGGUGGAAUCGUUGAUGGGUCCUACUGCGAAUACUCCUCGGAGUCAGGUAGGCCAUCUGAGAUGGAUAGAAGUGGUGGAUGAAGGUACAGAGGCAAAGCGAUUCGAUGGGGGUUAAAGACAGUCUUCCCCUCACAAGGAAUCGACGGAUAUUUGCGCCGUCCCAUGAAGCAAUUAUUCCAGGUAACGAUAAAGUAACCGAUGAUAUCCAAGUUCGAUUGGUCGAUGAUGAGGUUCGAGUCCAACCUACCAGAGGGGAGCGCAGCGGUAGAGGUUAUGGGGCUUACCGAGGUGGUCGUGGCAGAGGUGGUAGGGGAAAUCUGGGUGAAGGAGGAAGGAAUCCUAAUGUAACUAGCCUACAAAAAACCUGGGCUGAAGUAGCCAAUAUUUCGAGCAGAUCACCAAUUGAACUAAGGUAUAUUCCUCUCCCUCCUUCUGUAAACCCGAAUGUUGUGGAACUCCCCUCUCGAAAUGAGGAUCUGGGUAAGUGGGAAUCAUGUUUAGUGGGGUAUUUCCUUGAUACGAAAUUACCCUAUAAUUAUGUGAAGAAUAGUGUCUCCAACCAAUGGAAAAUUAUGGGUCUGAAUUGUGGGAGGAACAAAAUUGUUAACCUUUGUUUUGUUGAUGACCUGAUGGUCUUUUGGAAACGGCAUGUCCCUUCUAUCCAACUCGUUAAAAAUGGCCUUAUGGAAAUCCAAUCCCUCUCUGGGUUAUCUUUGAACCCAAAUAAGAGUAAUGUUUUCUUCUCUAGUUGUACCCCCUCUCUUAAAAUUGACAUUUUGAGGAUCACUCAAUUUCAGGAAGGUAAUUUACCUGUGAGGUAUCUUGGUGUUCCUCUCAUUACUACUAGACUUAAGGCCAGUGAUUGUAAAAGUCUUGUUGAUAGGAUUACUAAUAGGAUCAAAUCUUGGACUAACAAAACUCUGUCCUAUGUUGGGAGGGCCCAAUUGAUUAGUACAAUUCUGUUUUCUAUGCAAGUCUAUUGGGCUUCCCUUUUUAUCCUUCCUAAAAAAGUUAUUAAGGAGGUUAAAGCCUUGUGUAGGUCUCUUCUUUGGUUUGGCCUUGAGCUUAAAAAAUCUGCUGGUAAGGUUGCUUGGGAUAGAAUCUGUGCCCCCAAAAAUGAAGGGGGGGUUAGGUUUUAAGUCCGUAGAUAUUUGGAAUAGAGCUGCUAUAUCCAAGCGUAUUUGGUUUAUAGUGGCAGGUGGGGAGCAUGCUAUGUGGUGUUAAUGGGUGAAGUCUUAUUUGUUGAAAGGCCAUAGUUUCUAGGCUAUUGUGUCCUUAGUGACCCCUCUUGGGUAUGGAGGAAAAUCUUAUCUUUGAGGGAGGCUAUGUUUCCAUUGAUUAAGUACAAGAUUGGUAAUGGGGAAGGCAUUUUCUUAUGAUAUGAAAAUUGGCACCCUCUUGGAUCCCUCUAGUCUAAGUAUGGUAAUAGUGUGAUGAAUGACACUGCAUUAAAUGCUAAGGCUAAGGUGGCCUCUGUUGUGGGGGCUAGUGGUUGGAAUUGGUCUAAUGUUUCUUCUUGGGAGGUGAGGGAGAUUGUUGCCCUUACCCCUCCUAACAUUACUCCCUCCUUGGUAUGUCAUGAUAGAGCCUUUUGGCUGCCUCAAAAGGAUGGGAAUUUCAAUAUUGGUUAUGUUUGGAAUUCCUGGAUAUUGAAGUGGCCCCUUGUCAAUUGGGCUAACCUAGUGUGGACUCCUUACUCUAUUCCUAGGGUGGGUUUCAUUGUUUGGAUGGCUAUUCUGGGUCGGUUAAAUACUGGUGAUAGGCUUGCCAUCUUUGGUAUUAACCCUAACCCAGUUUGCCCCCUAUGUGGUAUACUUGGUGAGGACCAUGAUCACUUGUUUUUUCAGUGCAAAUUCUCUUCUAAUGUGUGGACUGUUGUGCUGUCCAAAUGCAAUACAAAUUGGCACAGCCCUACCUAGUUGGGUUUGGUGGACUUGAUAGCCAGAGACUGUAAUGGCAAGUCUCUUGCUACUAUUGUCAAAAGGCUUGCCUUUUGUUGUACUGUGUACCAUGUUUGGUUAGAGAGAAACAAUCGUAUAUUUACCAAGGAAAGGAAACCAGAAGAAAUAAUUUUGAAGAACAUCAUAAGCAUGGUUAGAUAUAGAGCCCUUGCCCUCAACAAUAUUUAGAAAUCCCAAAAUGAUAUGUGGUUUCUGCAGGAAUGGAGAUUGCCUCCAAAUACCAUCAAAAUUUGAGGGCAAUGUUAUCUGUGUGGGUCGAGUGAAUGGGAGCACUAUAUUGAGGGUUAAGUUUGGCAAGGUUCUAUAGCUACUCUGAUCAGUAUUGGGAAGCAGUGGAGAUGGGUUAUAAUAUGAGUGCUGUCCAGAUUGAGGCCUCACGUGGUGAAGAUGUUACACAGAUCGGGCUGCAAGCUGCGCUAGUCUGAGUGGAAUAUUUCUGCUGGAAAAUACGUUGUUUUUAUUAAAUAGUCUAGUUACAUGGUUUUUAUUUCUGAUUGGUAUCGAAUUGUUCUAUGGUUUUUUGUUUAGUUACGGUUGCUGUUUUCCCUAUCCCUACGGGGUGUGUAGGGUUUUUCAUUAUUACACCUGCUGUAUGUAUCAUGGUGUGGUUGCUUUGCAAAUUCAGGUUCUCUUGGGCCAUGUUGUUCUCGCCCUCUCUAGUUUGUGGGCUGUUGUAGUUUCUGGGUUUCCUUCUUUGUUCUCUCUCCCUAUUUUGUUUGAGAUAUGGUGGGUGAACAAGGUUGUGGUCCCUUUGCCGAAGCUUGCUGUCUUACCUUUGUGGUUUGUGUUUUUGCUUUUGUGGUUAUCUAGUAGCCUUGUUUGCAGCUGGUGUCUGGCUGCCUUUUGUUUGGUUCUAUUGUAUAGCUGGUUUAAGGCCUGGGUAUCCCCUUGUAUUCUUGUAAAUCUUUUGUUUUAUUUUAUGACUUAUUCAUCAAAAAAAAAA